GAUGAACGCCGGCGGCGUGCCUAAUACAUGCAAGUCGAGCGAACCACUUCGGUGGUGAGCGGCGAACGGGUGAGUAACACGUAGGUGAUCUGCCCAUCAGACGGGGACAACGAUUGGAAACGAUCGCUAAUACCGGAUAGGACGAAAGUUUAAAGGUGCUUCUGGCACCGCUGAUGGAUGAGCCUGCGGCACAUUAGCUAGUUGGUAGGGUAAAGGCCUACCAAGGCGACGAUGCGUAGCCGACCUGAGAGGGUGAACGGCCACACUGGGACGGAGACACGGCCCAGACUCCUACGGGAGGCAGCAGUAGGGAAUCUUCGGCAAUGGGCGAAAGCCUGACCGAGCAACGCCGCGUGAAUGAUGAAGGCCUUCGGGUUGUAAAAUUCUGUUAUAAGGGAAGAACGACUUUAGUAGGAAAUGGCUAGAGUGUGACGGUACCUUAUGAGAAAGCCACGGCUAACUACGUGCCAGCAGCCGCGGUAA
rnacentral:rRNA from 1 species